rnacentral:rRNA from 1 species
GGGGGGGGGGGGGGGGGGGGCGGGCGGAGGGGGGGCGAGCGAGACGGGCGGGUCUGGUGGGGCACGGGGGCGGAAGGCGGGGGAACCUGCCCUUAGGUGCGGGAUAACUCCCCGAAAGGGGGGCUAAUACCGGAGAAUGUCUUCGGACCAAAGAUUUCUCGCCUUUGGAUGGGCCCGCGUUGGAUUAGCUAGUGGGUAGAGUAAACGCCUACCAAGGCGACGAUCCAUAGCUGGUCUGAGAGGAUGAUCAGCCACACUGGGACUGAGACACGGCCCAGACUCCUACGGGAGGCAGCAGUGGGGAAUAUUGGACAAUGGGCGAAAGCCUGAUCCAGCAAUGCCGCGUGAGUGAUGAAGGCCUUAGGGUUGUAAAGCUCUUUUACCCGGGAUGAUAAUGACAGUACCGGGAGAAUAAGCUCCGGCUAACUCCGUG